UGUUGUUCAGCAGUGAUUUUCUCAAUGCCAGGUGCAAAAGAGGCAGAUUUAUGGCAUCACUAAUAUGCUUGAAGGGAUAGGAUUUAUGCCAAUGCUGCAGAAGUUGAAAACCUAGUCUCGCAAGAAUGCCAAUUGGAUGAGUGCAUCAGGUUUGGUUCCAAUACUAAAUGUAGCUUCUAUCUACUGAUGCCUAACAUGCUUUAAUAUGCAUAGUGUGCAAAAAUGUUCUAGUUUUAAAGCAGAAUGCAAGAAAGUAUGAGUGUGUUCACUGAAGAAGAAAGUAAUCAAAAGUAUGUUAUUUUUUUCUUGCAUUUGCCCACAUAUGUU